rnacentral:rRNA from 1 species
ACAAGGAUUCCCCCAGUAAUGGCGAAUGAAGAGGGAAAAGCCCAAAUUUGUAAUCUGGCUUUCUUUUGAAGGUCUGAGUUGUAAUUUUAAGAACUGUUUUCAGUGCUGGACCACACACAAGUUUGUUGGAAAACAAUAUCAUUGAGGGUGAUAAUCCCGUUCAUGGUGUGGACUACCAGUGCAAUAUGAUACAGUCUCUAAGAGUCGAGUUGUUUGGGAAUGCAGCUCAAAGUGGGUGGUAAAUUCCAUCUAAGGCUAAAUAUUGAUGAGAGACCGAUAGCAAACAAGUACCGUGAGGGAAAGAUGAAAAGAACUUUGGAAAGAGAGUUAACAGUAUGUGAAAUUGUUAGAAGGGAAACACUUGAAGUUAGACAUGCUAUAGCCAGUUCAAACCCUUUUUUCUAAGGGAGUAUUCUGGUAUCUUUAGCAGAUCAACAUCAAUUCUGUUUGGUGCUGGAUAAGGGUUGUGGAAAUGUGGCAGUCUUUGGCUGUGUUUAUAGUCCAUGACUUUGAUAUGGUGCCUGGGAUUGAGGUAUGCAGUAAGCCUUUUAUUUUUGAGAGGUGGGUCUAUAUUAUAGAUCUUCUUGCUGAGGAUGUUGAUGUAAUAG